UGAGGAAUGACAAAUUACUUAAUGGGUAC
rnacentral:piRNA from 1 species